CCAUAAAGGAUUUUUAAAUUGGAAGUUUUAGAUAGAGAAAAGAUACACAAAUGGCAAUCUGUUGCUCCUACUUUUGACACCCAAAGUAUUUUAAGCUCCUCCUUUCAGUGCUCCUCAGAAUAAUGAUUCUUCGGAAAGAAUGCAGCUUCUAGAGAGAAUACAAGUCACACAGGGUGCUCAGGUUAGGGAGAGAGGGUGAGCUGUGGCACUGUGUAGACAGUCUUUUGUGGCAGCCCACAAAAGAUGAAGACCUAAGUCUGAAUUACUGACAGUCUGAACUCAGAGUAAAUGCUGCAGCAAAAAUUCAUGAUAAUAAGGGCCCGGAAGCAGGUGUCCAUGAUGAUAGCUUAAUCAAGGCAGGCUUUCCUGUUGGCUGAGGUUCACUAUUUAUUCACUAUUGGUAUGUGGCAAUCCUGUAACUAUUGGGCUCCCUUUGACUGUUAGAAUCGUGAUUCUAGCCCUCAUAGUGGCCCAACUCAUUAGGCUGCUGUGAACACCUUUUGAAUCAUAUGCCAGGCUCACCUACUUCUUGCCCCCUCAGUCAUUGUGGGGAUUCUUGUUAAUAAAUAUGCCAAAUGUUGGAGGUUAUUGAUCAGAAGAGGGGUGAGUACCUGAACCAAGAUGGAUGCCUCAGAACCUCCUCUUUGUGGAUUUGAAAUCCAGAUUGAUAUGUAUCCAUAUUUAUGUCUAUGUCUGUAUCUACAACUACACCUGCCUAUUUAUCCAUGCAUAUGGAAAGACUGGCUGACUUACUCCCUUUUCCCUCCUCAGGAUGGUGAAGUGUAAACCUGAGAAUGUGAGAUAGACAUCAUUUGUACUUACGUGAAUCAGAAAAGAAGAGGAGGCAGGUCUGCAGAGCUUGUAUGCCUGGAGCAGCACUAAUCCUAGGCCAGCUGGCCAGAGCGCAACCAGCAUCUUGGUAUCUACAGCAAAGGCUAAAAUGGAUCAAGAGCCCAGGAUUUCCCAUGGCAGCUUUGCCUCCACUGAGGGUUAUGAGGUCCACCUCAGCUUUCCAGCUCCCGGGAAGGACUCUACUCAAUGAAUGAGCAAGACAGUGAUAGCAAAGACACACUCUUCUCAGGGUGGGCUUCUGCAGGGAGUGGUAUGACAGCCUAGCUGUUUCUACCCAGCACAGAACUCUUCUACUGCGUGACAGCAAUGUUUGCUCUACAGCAUCCCAGUGGGCUGGCCUCUGUUUGGAUGGCAUCACAGUCUAAUGGCGCCCUCUGCCUAAUCCAGCUUCUGCUCUGUUCUUUUCAGUGGUGUAACUCUCCAAUGAAUCUUUUACACUCCCAACUCUGUCUCAGCAUCUGCUUCCUGGCUAACCCAACCUUCUGCAGAGUCUUGUACUUCACAGAUAACCAAAAUAAAACACUAAUGCCAAUCCACUAGAAUAUAAUAUGUAUGGGUUUUUUUCUGAAUAGUCUCCAGCACCUAGAAUGGUCAUUGACACAUGUUGGGUAUGGAGCUCACUAAACAAUUGUCAAAUGAAUGAAUGAAAUCCAAACAAAUCUUGGCAUUUGCUCAUGUUGGGAUCAGCUGAGUCUAAAUAGUUCUUCUUCCAUCAUCCUCUAUUUCAUUACCACCUUCUCCUGUCACACCAACAUCCAGUCCCCUUUUUAUCCUCUUUCCUUUCUUUCCCUUCCUCAAUUCCUGAGAAUUUAUAUCAGGCACAGUGCUACGUGCUCAGAACACCUUCUGCAGUUCUUCCAAACCACCAUCUCAUCUCCUUUUCAGCUUCUCUUUUUUCUUUUUCUCAGGAAGCGAGGGGCCAUUUACAGCCACCAUUUCCACCAAUCAGGAGCAAAUACUGACUCAUCCUCUACUCCCAUCCUUUUCAGAAUAGGAGAUGGGCUCUACUCCCAUCCUCCUGGGAGUAGGAGAUGUUCCCAAAGAGCAUCCUAAGUAAUUCUAAAGAGCACUGCUGGCCUAACAAGGUGCUUUUUAAACCUUUAAAAUUGUCUGCUAGGUAUCAGUAUUAGGUACUCUGCCCACAUUCUCUUUUUAAAAAAUUGCAGUAAAAUAAACAUACCAUAACAUUUACCAUUUUAACCAUUUUGAAUAGCACAAUUCAGUGCUUCUACGUAUAUUCAUAAUUUUGUGCACACAUCGCUACUAUCCAUCUCCAGAACUUUUUCAUCUUCUCACACACUGUGUUUAUUUUCAAUAACAACUUUCCAUUCCUCUUUCCCCACAGCCCCUGCUAAUCACUGUUCUUCUUUCUGUCUCUAUGUACUUGACUAUCCUAGUUACCUCAUAUAAGAGGAAUCAUGCUCUGUCCUUUUGAAUAUCUCUUUUGUGUCUGACUUAUUUCAGCACAAUAUCUUUGAGGUUUAUCCAUGUGUUAGCAUGUGUCAGAAUUUCCCUCUUUUUAAAGGCUGAAUACUAUUCCAUUGUAUGUAUAUAUCAUAUUUUUUUUAUGCACUCAUCUGUUCCUUGGCAUUUAGGUUAUUUCCACUUUUUGGAUAUUGUGAAUAAUGCUCCUAUGAACACUGAUGUACUUGUAUCUGAGUCCUUCCUUUCAAUUCUUUAGAAUUAAGAGUAGAAUUGCUGAAUCAUAUGGUAAUUAUGUUUAACUAUUUUUAGGAAUUGCUCAACUCUUUCCAUGUUACUAACAAGGUGCUUUUUGGAAAUAGGGCUCCCUGGUCAACACACAGCAUCCUCUGAUUCCCUCUUGGAGAGUUACAAUGCACAUUGGCACAGUAAAGGAUAUGAGAGGUCCUGAAGCAAAGACACCUAUGUAACUUUAACCGGCCAUUUCCCAAAUUAAUGUGAUUGUGAAACCCUUUGUGCAGAGUAACUGGUAAUAUAAAAGUCCCUGCUGGUUUGGGAAACAAUGCUUUAAGCUCAGCAGGCCUACAUAGGAAGGACUGUGACCUAGGGCCAGUGGGUCGUGGAAGUAUUACUCAGAGGAGACAGAGAUGGGAUUACCUCCAACCCUCCAACUAGCCUGCUGCGUGGCUUUCCUUCUCUUGGCAGCUCUGCACAUGCUGUGUUCUCUACCUGUUCUACCUUUCCUCUGCUUCUUUGCUUCUUGAAGUUCUACUUAUGUUUCAGGACAAGCUCAGGCAUUCUUGCUCCCCUUCCUUCAGGGAACUCUGACCCUGCUCUCCUAUCUCCCCAGACAGGAAUUAGGAGCUCCUCUUCUACUGAACCCUUAUUAUACAGUGUGGCCCUGUUAAAUUGCCUGCUUCUUCCGCUGUAUCAAAUGUGGUCAGCCUCAGUUUGCAACUUUAGUUCAUAUAAAUAAUCACCUGGAGAGUUUAUUAAAAAUGCAGAUAACUCCAUUUCACUGAAAUUCCAACUCAGUAUCUUUGUGGUGCGCAUUCAGUAGCAGCUCCAGAAUGUGCAUUUUUAACAAGCCUCAGGCAAUAUUCUCAGGCGGAUGAUUCUUGUGAUCCCCUUUAGCUCUGUGAGGAUAACAGUCAAUUCUCCCCUGUUUAUUUGACACAUAGUAGGCAUGAAACAAUGGUGAAUGAGUGAGCAAAGGAACAAAUGAAUGAUGAGUGAAUGAAUGAAAUAAUCUGUUUCCUCCUCUGAAAAAUGAUGAGCUUGGACCAGAUGUCCUCUAAGCUUUUCUUGGCUUAAACUUCAUGUGAUUUAGGUUAUUUUUACCAAAAAUUCUACACUCUUGGCAGCUUUAAUAACAGAACCAUAUACAAUACACAAACUCAAGCACAUGAAACAACCAGGGAGACAUGCUGAAGAGGAUUUAGUCUAAGCUAAUAUCCAAUCAAUGACCCAGGACUCAUGAAUAACCAUUAUUUUUGAAACUAGUAACGUCAUCGCAGGCUAGAGACACAAAGAGGGGCAUACACUCGUGCCAUGUGAAUUCAGUCUCAUUCUCUCCUGUGUGAGUAGCCAAUGGGCACGCCAUCAGGGAUGAAAAAUCCCUAGGUUUGGGAAUUAGAGAGCUAUGCAUUAUGGGAAACCAGGGUCCAGGGAGCGGUUUAGGGUGUUUAGCUGCCUUCCUGUGGCAUGGAGGGGACACACUGUUAGCACCGUUAGGGCCCCCUGCCUCUUCUAUGGUCACUUGUCAGUGGAGUCAUUGAAUAUAUAACCCUUGACUCUUUUCCGUGAGAACCCUGCAGGUUUUGAGAGGCAGCUUUGGCUUCUCACAAGAGCUGUGGCCCAAGAAAAAUGAAGUCUCCCAUUAUUUACAACCUCUCAGCAUUUCAGAGGAAAAAGGUUGGCGGUGGCUGCCAAGAUCCAGCAAAUAUUUGGUUAGCUUGGAAAGAAUGGGUGCUCAUUUUCCAAUUCUCACAGAUUUCUCUAUGCCCAGUUCUUUUUAUUAAAAACUUUAAAUCCAGAGAUAAAGUCGAAUGGCACUGCAGGCUCUAAGCAUUCAUCUGUAUCCCAGGGAGCAGAACCCAGGAUCUAAACAAAGAAAAGUUUAAUCAAUAGAAUUCAUGAAUUCCCUCUAGGAAUAGGACCCAACGUAGCAGAAGAAUAAGCAGAGGGGCUCCUAUCCAUGGUUUUCUAUUAGUGGAUAUUUCUGGGAAGGACUUUGGAGAAUACCCUUUCAAUUGACCAGGGUCAGCAAACUAUGGCCCAUGGGCCAAAUCCUGCCUGCUGCCUUUUUAGUUGAGUUUUGUAUUUUUGUACAGCCUGUUGAGAAUUUUUUUUUUCACUUUUGUAUAGAGUUGAAAAAAAUCAAAAGAAUAUUUCACAAAUAUCUGAAAAUUAGAUGAAAUUCAAAUUUGUGUUUGUAAAUAAAGUUUUAUUGGAACACAGCCACAUCCAUUUGUUUGCAUAAUAUAUACGGCUGUUCUUGAACUACAGUGGCAGAGUUGAGUAGCUGAGACACGAGACCACAUAGCCCUCAAAGCCUAAAAUGUGUACUAUCUGGCCCUUUGUAGAAAAAGUUUGCAGAGCCCUCGAAUAGGAAAUGUAAGAGUUGCCUCUCACUAUUAUGUGAACUAAAAACUGUAAGAUAUAUAAGCACAGUUAACUAAUCAUAAAUCAAACACUUGUAUAAACUCACACUUGAGUCAAGAAAUAAAACAUUGUCCAUCAAUCAGCACCCAGAAGUCUUCCAUGUGUUCUUUCUCCUCCACUAGAGCUAUGAGCCUUUGUGACAUUUUCCUUGCUGUUCUUUGUACUUCUACCACCUAAACUCUGAGUUUUGCCUGUUUUCAAACUGUAUAUAAACAGAAUAACACUGUAUAUUUGCCUUUGCAUCUGUUUCUUUCUCUCAAAUUUGUGAGACUCAACUCUGAGUUGUGUGUGGCUAUCGUCCUGUCAUUUCCUCUGUUGUCACUUCCAUGGCAUUUCACUAUGUUACUUAGGCAAGUUUCGUUUGUUCAUUUUACUGUUAGUGGACAGUUGGAUCAUUUCUUGUUUGGGGCUAUGGUGAAUAACACUGCCAUAAACAUCUCGUACUUGGGCCAUCAUUGAUUUAAGAGUCUUUCAAAAGUAGUGGAAUUGCUGGGCUGUAGGCUAUGCAGACUUUCAACUCUACCACUUAAUGCCAAAUUUUUCUUGGAAGAGGCUGAACAAAAUCACAUUCCCACCAGCCACCUCCUUUUAGGAAGCUGAGGAGCUCUUUGUAUGUUAUCAGCACUAUUUCUACCUCCACAACCCUGGACCUAAUGGUGCCUGCUCUCUGACCUUCAGGGACCAGACAUGACCUUCGUCCCUUCCACUUUGUAUCUUCUCUUAAAAUAAUUCUGAAGUCUUAAAAAAA